rnacentral:tRNA from 1 species
AGCUUUAUAGUCAAUAUAUGUAUAAUGAUAUAAAAUUGCAAAUUUUAAGUAGUAUUUUACUAAAGCUU